rnacentral:tRNA from 1 species
GCCACCAUGGCUUAGCUCGGUAUAGCGUUUGCUUGGUAAGCAAAAGGUCGCGGGAUCAAAGCCCGCUGGUGGCUCCA